AAUCACUCCUGUAGAAUGCAGUGGUUCAUCAGAACCUCUGGGGAUGUCCUGUGGAUUCUGUGGAUCCUGUGGGUUGCAGGGUGGGUCCUACCUAGACCAGGCUGAUCCUGGACCAUCCCACAGAUGCUCCAUCAGAUGUGGAUGUGGGGAGUGUGGAACCCAGAUGUUCAGAGGGAGAUGAUGCCACAUCUGGUCCAGCUGAUGGAAGGUCUUGAAGUUCUCUGACUGGCCUCGACUGAAGAUGGUCGUCUCACUGGAUUUAAGAGAUGCACAAUGAGGGACGUCUGCAGAGACUGAGAAAGAGUCUCACCACAUCCUGACAUGAGGAAAAAGACUUUAUUGAAGACUACAAUGAGAAAAACUAUCAGACAGCAGACGGCUGCAUUCAAGUCUGUAGCUGCUGAAUUCAUGGAUGAAUCAUCUGGCACUAGAGAAGACCAUCAAACAUCCACGUCAGCUGAUGGAGGUCCAAGAGUCUCACCAAACAAACAACCUACAGAGUGAAGACCUCAGCUCUGAUUGGACGGCCUCCUAUUCAGCCACGUGUGUGAACAAAUGCCUCUAAGCUGAUUUGUUUUCUAAAAUAAAUCUAGUUUGAGUCCUAAUCUAUGCCUGUGUGUUUGCUUCUUUACACGGCUGUUAACAGUUUAGGCUGUUAGAUUGUUCCAGAUAAGACAAGUACAAGAUUCUUCAGAGCCG
ensembl:lncRNA